UCUUAAAUUUCACUUCUUUGUCUGUUCUCUCACGUUUUUUUCCCUUCAUUUUAUAGCCUGUCAAACAAGAUUUCUGACAAAUUCACAACGAUUGAAUACUGUUUUGCAGUCUUCACUGCUGUCACUAAUGACUUCUACUGUACAUAUUCUUCAGUGUUUCCUGUUAGAUUCACAAGAAUUAAUGUGUUCAAAGGAAAACCUUUGUUGAGAACAGAAUACAGAACUGAUGUCCUGUCACUGUCCUGUCUUGCUUGCUUUGGAUUUCAAACUAAUCAAAGCUGAGUAAAGGUUUGGUUUUAAACAAAUGAACAAUUCUUGGAAUCACUGCUGUUAAUAUGUAUAGUCCCAUCAAGGGGGAAGGGUGAAAAUGUAGUAAACUUAUACAGUGGAAUCACACAGCCAUGUCACAAAGCUCUGUCUAGUGCACACAUAUGUUAAACUUUUUUUCUAGUUUUUCAUGUCUGAAGUGAUUUCACUGACUUAAUGAAGGACAUUUCUAUUCUGU
rnacentral:lncRNA from 1 species